rnacentral:rRNA from 1 species
UACGGGGGGAGCAAGCGUUGUUCGGAUUUACUGGGCGUAAAGGGCGCGUAGGCGGCCACUGCAAGUCGGUUGUGAAAUCUCCGGGCUUAACCCGGAAAGGUCAAUCGAUACUGCAGGGCUAGAGUGCAGAAGGGGCAACUGGAAUUCUCGGUGUAGCGGUGAAAUGCGUAGAUAUCGGGAGGAACACCUAUGGCGAAGGCAGCUCGCUGGGACGUUACUGACGCUGAGACGCGAAAGCGUGGGGAGCAAACAGG